GUCACAUACAUCACAUUUUAUUUCAUGGUGGGCAGUGUGGGCACUAAAUUUUAUUUAUAGUAGACAAUGUGGCCAGCUGGUUCUCACAAACCAACUUUUAUUUUAAAGCCUGAAAUGUUGCCCCCUAACGGCUACACUCCAUUUUUUUCAUGGCAGGCAGUGUGGGCAUUUCAGUGGGUAGAGUAGACAGUGUGCCAAGCUGGUGCUCACAAACCAACUUUUAUUUAAGUCUGAAAUGUUGCCCCCUAAUGGUUACACACCAUAUUUUUUUCAUGAUGGGCAUCUCAGUGGGUAUACAGUAGCAGACAGUGUGCCCAGCUGAUAGCCACAAACCAAAUCUGCAGGGUGGCCCCCUAGUGAAACUCAGUUUUACUUCUUGACGGGCACCAUAGCUCUGUUGAAGCAUCAAUACACCCACCCACCACCACCCGGUAGCUAGAAAUGAAAUUUUAUUUUAUAGCCCACACUGUUGCCCCCUUUUGGUCACACACAUCAUAUUUUCUGCAUUGGCAGACAGUCGUAGUCCAUACACUGCAUU